CCUACGGGAGGCAGCAGUGGGGAAUUUUGGACAAUGGGCGCAAGCCUGAUCCAGCAAUGCCGCGUGCAGGAUGAAGGCCUUCGGGUUGUAAACUGCUUUUGUACGGAACGAAAAAGUCUGCCCUAAUACGGUGGGCCCAUGACGGUACCGUAAGAAUAAGCACCGGCUAACUACGUGCCAGCAGCCGCGGUAAUACGUAGGGUGCGAGCGUUAAUCGGAAUUACUGGGCGUAAAGCGUGCGCAGGCGGUUAUAUAAGACAGAUGUGAAAUCCCCGGGCUCAACCUGGGACCUGCAUUUGUGACUGUAUAGCUAGAGUACGGUAGAGGGGGAUGGAAUUCCGCGUGUAGCAGUGAAAUGCGUAGAUAUGCGGAGGAACACCGAUGGCGAAGGCAAUCCCCUGGACCUGUACUGACGCUCAUGCACGAAAGCGUGGGGAGCAAACAGGAUUAGAUACCCUGGUAGUCCACGCCCUAAACGAUGUCAACUGGUUGUUGGGUCUUCACUGACUCAGUAACGAAGCUAACGCGUGAAGUUGACCGCCUGGGGAGUCGGCCGCAAGGUUGAAACUUAAAUGAAUUGACGGCUGAGAGNGCGAGGACGACGACGAGGGAGGAGG
rnacentral:rRNA from 1 species